rnacentral:rRNA from 1 species
AUUGAACGCUGGCGGCAGGCCUAACACAUGCAAGUCGAGCGGAGCGGCGGCCGGGUGAGUAAUGCCUAGGAAUCUGCCUGGUAGUUGGGGAUAACGUCCUGAAACGGGCGCUAAUACCGCAUACUAUCAGAUGAGCCUAGGUCGGAUUAGAUAGUUGGUGGGGUCAAGGCCUACCCAGGCGACGAUCCGUAACUGGUGUGAGAGGAUGAUCAGUCACACUGGAACUGAGACACAGGCCAGACUCCGACGGGAGGCAGCAGUGGGGAGUAUUGGACAAUGGGCGAAAGACUGAUCCAGACAUGCCGCGUGUGUGAAGAAGGUCUUCGGAUUGUAAAGCACUUUAAGAUGGGAGGCGUUACAAACAGAAUAGGCACCGGCUAACUUCGUGCCAGCAGCCGCGGUAAUUC